CCUGUGCUCCCGAACGGGGGGGGGGUCUCUCAUUCUGGCAUCUUCACGUUGACCUGAGCUGCCUUUGAAUCCUGCAUUGAGGACUGCUAUCUAGGUUUUUCGUAUUUGUUUUCUGUAGUGGAGGAUGGGAACUGAAGGGAGGAAGUUCUGGCUUCGACGGCCCAAUGCGUGGCUUGCCCAGGCUUCGUCCACCCCUUUUUGUUUCUUUAAUCAGUUCCCCUUUUGUUGGAAGUUUUUGGAAAUAAAAGUCACCAUCAUUGUAAACGGUAACUUUGGUCUGUGUAUUCUUAAUACGUUGCGGGCCGCCGGAUUGCGAGCCGUGUUGUAAGGGUGGCCGGAACAUCCCGCGCACGCAGGACUUUGUCGGAGGCUUCUCCGAGCCCUCGGUUAGGCGAGACAUGGCACACAUCAGGACAUGAUGGUGCAUUAAUUUGAUGGAACGGUUCCAGAUUGAUGGCCACCGACAGAGGUUUGCAUACUGGACAAAUGAGGCCCCAGCAUUGCUCUAAGGAUCACUGCAGCCGAUCUACAGGAUCCCGAAGACCAGAAAAAGGGAUCAUGAGGUGAGCAUGAUGUUGAUGGCAGAGGACACCCAGUGUCAUGCUCCUUUUUGUUAUAGACUCAUUAAUGCAAUUCAG
ensembl:lncRNA